CAGACGGACUCGUCUGCAGCAGCUCGGUGGCUGCUCGCCCUGCGAGCCACCGAUUUCCUCCUCCUCCCCACGGCGGGCGCCUCCGUGGGGCGGGCCCCCGAAACGGGGGCCCCAGUCGGCGGGCUCCUUGAGGAAGCUCGGGGGGCCGCUGGCUCGACAUCCGAAGGAAUGUCGAUGGCCGGGGUCGCCUGGACGGGCGCAGCCAAGCUCAUCUCCUCCACCC
rnacentral:lncRNA from 1 species